AGUGAACGCUGGCGGUAGGCCUAACACAUGCAAGUCGAACGGCAGCACAGUAAGAGCUUGCUCUUACGGGUGGCGAGUGGCGGACGGGUGAGGAAUACAUCGGAAUCUACUUUUUCGUGGGGGGUAACGUAGGGAAACUUACGCUAAUACCGCAUACGACCUACGGGUGAAAGCAGGGGAUCUUCGGACCUUGCGCGAUUGAAUGAGCCGAUGUCGGAUUAGCUAGUUGGCGGGGUAAAGGCCCACCAAGGCGACGAUCCGUAGCUGGUCUGAGAGGAUGAUCAGCCACACUGGAACUGAGACACGGUCCAGACUCCUACGAGAGGCAGCAGUGGGGAAUAUUGGACAAUGGGCGCAAGCCUGAUCCAGCCAUACCGCGUGGGUGAAGAAGGCCUUCGGGUUGUAAAGCCCUUUUGUUGGGAAAGAAAAGCAGCAGGUUAAUACCCCGCUGUUCUGACGGUACCCAAAGAAUAAGCACCGGCUAACUUCGUG
rnacentral:rRNA from 1 species